UACGUAGGGGCAAGCGUUGUCCGGAAUCAUUGGGCGUAAAGAGCGUGUAGGCGGCCACGCAGGUCCGUUGUGAAAACUGGAGGCUCAACCUCCAGCUGUCGAACGGAAACCGUGUGGCUAGAGUCCGGAAGAGGAGAGUGGAAUUCCUGGUGUAGCGGUGAAAUGCGCAGAUAUCAGGAAGAACACCAAUGGCGAAGGCAGCUCUCUGGGACGGUACUGACGCUGAGACGCGAAAGCGUGGGGAGCGAACAGG
rnacentral:rRNA from 1 species